UACAGAGGUCCCAAGCGUUGUUCGGAUUCACUGGGCGUAAAGGGUGCGUAGGUGGCCAGGUAAGUUUGGUGUGAAAGCUCGGAGCUUAACUCCGAAAAGUCAUUGAAUACUAUCUGGCUGGAGGGUCGGAGGGGAGACUGGAAUUCUCGGUGUAGCAGUGAAAUGCGUAGAUAUCGAGAGGAACACCAGUGGCGAAGGCGAGUCUCUGGACGACUCCUGACACUGAGGCACGAAAGCCAGGGGAGCAAACAGG
rnacentral:rRNA from 1 species